rnacentral:rRNA from 1 species
CAAUAGCGUAUAUUAAAGUUGUUGCAGUUAAAAAGCUCGUAGUUGGAUUUCUGAUGAGAGUACGGGUCGGCCUUAACGGGUUGCACUGUUGUUACGUCUCGUCGUUUCGAGGGGAAUGGGUUCGCUAUUAGGUUAGUGGGCUCGGGAACCUUGUCGUUUACUGUGAAAAAAUUAGAGUGUUCAAAGCAGGCCUUUGCUGUGAAUACAUUAGCAUGGAAUAAUAAGAUAGGACUGUAGUGCUAUUUUGUUGGUUUGCGUACUAUGGUAAUGAUUAAUAGGGAUAGUUGGGGGUAUCCAUAUUCAAUUGUCAGAGGUGAAAUUCUUGGAUUUAUGGAAGAUGAACUACUGCGAAAGCAUUUACCAAGGAUGUUUUCAUUAA